AUUUUCUGGACCUGUCAUGAAGACUACCGUUCCGGGACCAAAAUCACUGGAACUACUCGGUGCAAUGGACAAGAUUCAGGAGACACGAACAGUUCACAUGUUUGUUGACUAUCAGAAGAGUCAAGGCAACUAUGUUGUUGAUGUCGAUGGCAAUCAGUUAUUAGACGUUUGCGGUCAGAUUGCAUCAAACACUUUGGGAUAUAAUUAUCCUGAUGUGGUUGGAGCUCUAAAGGAUCCUGAAAAUUUGCAUCUUCUUGUGAAUCGACCGGCACUCGGACUCGCUCCACCUGCAGAGUUUGUUAGUCUUCUCAAGACAUCUCUACUUUCGGUAUCUCCUCGUGGAUUAAAUCAAGUCAUGACUAUGAUGUGUGGCUCGUGUGCUAAUGAAAACUCAAUCAAAGUUGCUUUCUUUCACUACAAAAGACUUCAGCGAGAACAGGCAGGAAUUGAUGUCACAGACGUAGAGGCCGAAUCGACCAUGAAGAACCAAGUGCCAGGGUCUCCACGGUUAAGCGUUCUGUCAUUUACUGGAGCUUUUCAUGGUAGAACACUGGGAUGUUUGAGUUUGACUCGUUCAAAACCAGUUCACAAACUCGAUGUGCCGGCAUUUGACUGGCCGGUGGCUCCAUUCCCACAACUUCGUUAUCCUCUUGAAGAGAACGAACGUGAAAACCGACAGGAAGAGGAUCGCUGUUUGGAACAAGUUACAGAUAUCAUGAAAGUAUGGUCAGAUAGAAACUGUCCAGUUGUGUGCAUUUGUGUGGAGCCGAUUCAAGCUGAAGGAGGUGAUCGUCAUGCCAGUCCGUAUUUCUUCCAGCAACUCCAGAGGAUUGCAAAACAAUCUGGAGCUCUUUUUAUGGUCGAUGAAGUUCAGACGUUUGGAGUGACUGGGCACAUGUGGGCUCAUGAGGCAUUUGGACUUGAUGAGUCUCCCGACAUUGUCACAUUUGCAAAAAAGCUGCAAGUAACCGGUGCAUACAUGAAGGAUGGGCUUCGUCCUGAUAAGCCGUAUCGUAUCUUCAACACUUGGUUGGGGGAUCCGAGCAAGUUGUUGGUGGCCAGUGCUGUAGUGAAAGUAAUUCAGAGGGACAAUUUACUGCAGAUGACAAGAAAGGCUGGCGAAGUGUUACUUGCCGGACUGAAGGAGCUACAGUAAUGGCACGUGGGACAACUCUCCACACAUUGGUUCAUCAAGAAAGCUUUCUUGUGUUGAAUCAGCAUGCCAAAUGGACUCUUUCAUGUUCUAUGUCAGCCAUAGUCACCUCUCGCAAUCCAUCAGAGCUGCAGUCAAUGUGAGACGUCUCAGCCUCUUCCUUCUUGAGCAUCUCAAGCUGGCUGGGACUGAAUCAAUCUUGGUCUGUGUCAUCUGGUUGAAGUCGACAUUCAACACAUACCGUACAGACCUAAGGCAUCAUCUUGUUUUUUAGGUGCCGCACCCUCCGUCAUCACCACCUGUUGAAGGGGGAGAAGAUUGACAUUUGCGGAUUGCACUCACAUAGCUGCAAAGUAUCCAUUCCUGUCUGCUGCACGAGGAGCUGGAACGUUUUGUGCUGUUGAUUGUGAUUCCACACUGCGGCAGGCUUCACUGUUACAAGCGCUCUUGAACAAAGGAGCGUACACGAUUGGUUGUGGUGAAAAGACG